rnacentral:lncRNA from 1 species
GGAGGGCCGGCAGAUGAACGGAUGACCUGCUUGCUGGGCUUCCCAUUAGUAAUUCUUGAGACAUGAGGACCACUGACCGGUGAGGGAAUUGCCCUAUGUUGGAUGAGCCUGCCUCAAGCUGCCAUAAGCUGGGAGGACCGACGGUUGACUGACUCUGCCUGCUUGGUUGGCCAUUACCGAUUCAUGAGAAGAUGAGGACCGCCAAGCUUGGAUGAAACUGGAAAAUUACGAAGCUGCUCUAUUACGAAGCUGCUCUAUCUGGACAAGGAUGCCCUCAUCAGACACUUUCCAAUUUGCGGAAUAUUGGAUCAAAAAUCAGACUGCAUAUUAUUUUGCAAUAUUAUAAAACAUAAAAACGACGAAAAUACGAAUUCUUACGCCAAAGUUACCGCUAUAAUUGGAAGAAAUAAUAGCUUAAAUCACUGUUACUUGUUAACUUUACUGAGAUACCUAUACCUGAAAUAUUUGCGAAUAUGACGAAAAUUGAAGAAAAAAAUUCAAAUGUGUGUAAAAUACAUUGCAGUGAAAAUCAAAUCGUGAGCGGAUUUUCUUCUUACAGAAAGCUUCUCCGCUUCCAACAAGUGGCUGAGAAAAUGAUGAAACUUACGCUGAAAAUAACUGAAAUCAGUGUUGUUUUUACCUUUACUGCGAUACCUACAGGAAAUAUUUGACUAAACGCGUGUGACAAAACGUGGAAACAAAAAUAAAAUCGGUCCAAAUUAAAUUACAACGAAAAUCACUUAGUACGUGGAGUUUCUUCUCGAAGCACGGCACUCUGUUUCUACAGGUAGCUACAGGAAAAUUACGAAAAUUACACCGAAAAUCAAAGCGGCAUAUAAGUGAAGUGACGAAACAUAGUUUACACGGCUAAAAAAUCACAGCGUUAGUGAGAGGAAUAAUACUUGAUAUCAGUGUUAUUUUUCUUACCUACAAAGUAAAAAAGAUUGGAUUGCGGAAGAACGAAAUUAAAGAAACGAAAAUUACGGUAAAACGAUUAACAGCGGCUUCGAAAGAAAUAAAUAUUUGAAAAUCGGUAAUUUUCUAAACUUCUAGGCUCUAUGCCAUGCACAAAUUUGCUAAGGAAAAUGACCGAAAUAAUGUUAAACAACAAAUUUCAAAUUAUAAUCGGCAGCCACUUCCGGUACGGUACUACACUGCUUAAAAAAGUCGGAAAGCGAAUUUUGGUAAACGGUGGGGAAAAUGACGGCAAAAAAAAAGUUUUAAAAAAUGACGGAAAUUAAGGAAAAACUCUUUUAUAUCGAUGUUAAGAAAAUGACUGAAUUUCAAUUAAAGCAGCAUGUUAAAGGCAUUCCCCAAGUUCUAGGCCUACACCACAUCUUUUAAGUAUUAUUCGUCAGUGAAAAUAACUGCAAUUUGUGACAUUGGCAAGAAGUUUGCCUUCAAAAAGGCCAGAAAUAGCCAGGUUAUGCAUUGUGAAAGGGUACAACUUAAGUGUAAUAAACAAAGCGAUAGGGAAAAUGGCUGUAUAAGACAUGCGACAUAUUUAGAUCGCAUGCGACAUUUCUUCGUGUUUUUGUAAAGGUUUAAACUUAAUCUACAUCAUUUAUGUGAGUCCGAUUUGGAAAGAUCGGCAGGGAUAUAUGUUAAUUCACCAAGUAUAUUAUUUCUCCUUUGAGUUACUCAUUUGGUUCUCUUACUUUGACCUUUGAUAACGUAUAAGGUCGACAGUGCUGUUUUAUUGAAGGGGAGAACACGAAAACCAUAACGGAAAAAAAGCGUUGAAUUAGUUAACGUAAAUUUCAAAAGAAAGCAUUUCAAGAUAUGCGACAGGUUUAGAGUAACAUAGAAAACUACUAUUUCCUUGUUGAUAUUAGCCUACGUGUAACCCUCCCUUCGUAUAGUACUAUGUUCAAUGUAAGUCCGAUUUGGAAGGGAUCGGCAAGGAUUAAGAUGGCAUUUUGUCAUCUUAAUGUCACGUGAAUUUCUUUUAAUGGUUGUUUAUAGUGUGCGAGUUAUAUGCAGUUUCCAAAGCAACCUGCCAUUAUCAGCGUCGGCACAUUAUGACAAAGGAAAUAAUGGAAACAUGGGUAGAAUCGUUUGGUUUCCAUUGGGUCCUACCCAUGACCUGGUUAUAGGUAGGCUUAGACAUAAUUAUUGGCUACAUUUGCAAUGUUUCACUUCAGUAACAAAUGGGCUAGGCCCAGUGUUUUCGUACCCCUGUCCACUUAGGAAAGAGUUGCAGCUUUCAUCAAAGAAAUUGAUGAUCUAAAAGUUGAGACUGCAUGGAUGAGCUAGGCUGCUUUGUCUGGACGAAAAUGAACCCUCCAAGGCUCCAACAGCCUCAUCACACAGAAACUCGAGGAACCGGAAGCAGGGAGGAGGACCGACAUAUGAACGGAUGACCUACUUGCUUGGCUUCCAAUUUAAUACUGAUUCUUGAAAAAUGAGGACCACUGACUGAUGAGGGAAUUGUCUUACUGAGAUGAGGAUGAGCGUGCCUCAAGCCAUCGUAUGCUGGGAGGACCGACGAUGGACUGACACCGCUUGCUGGCCUGGCCAUUUCUGAUACUUGAGGACAUGAGGACCACCAAGCUUGGACGAGACUGGACAAUGACGAAGCUGCUCUACUUGACAAGGAUGCUCUCAUCGGAAACUUGAGUUUAAAAAAAACUAGCUUGCACAAUAUGAAAUGAUAAAUCGACUGCAUAAUGCAACGUCACUAAUGUUAUACACUAAAGCAACAACACUAAAAUAAAAUGAAAAGUAAUUUUGAUUUCAUUAAAUUAUUUAUGCCUCUAAAAUAAUCUUAAACCGGAUACUGCAACAGACAGUUAACAAUGGACAAUAAUGGAAACUUGCUGAAAAAUUAUUGUAAGGGUAAUAUUUGUCACUGGCUUUUUAGCAGUGACAUGUCUGGGAGAAGGGAUGUUCCUUUGAUCUGUCCUGGGUCAUCCAAAAUUAUUGCAUCAAUAAGUUAAUAAUUUCAUACUCCUUACCUUUAAUGCAUUCAAUAGGAUCUUCCCGGUAAAUUAUAAACGAAGUCUCACCUAAGGCUUUCUAUUGCUUUUUGUUCAGUUGACAAUGGAGAAUUGUGCUCUAUAAAUUUAAUUUGAUAUUGCAAGUGCAUUUUUAAGAAAACCAAUUUAAGUCAGAGGAGUUUUGAAAUA